AUAGCCUAACGGCUGAACCAGCAAUUUGGANGAAUGAAUGGCAANUGCUAGGUACGCUAAAGUUUUUUAGUGUGAAAUCGACUUGGUUGAAUAAAAUUCUGGGUAGAAUUUUGAUAAUGACAAUAUCUGUCCAUGAGUCUUGACCAAAUUACGUGCCAGCAGUCGCGGUAAUACGUAGAAGACAAGUGUUAUUCAUCUUUAAUAGGUUUAAAGGGUACUUAGACGGGAAAUAAAGCCUUUAAAAGGGAUACUGUUUUCUAGAGUUUUAUGUGGAGGAGUAUUAAAGUACUUUUGGUGGAGAGAUAAAAUUCAGUCAUACCUUCUUGGCACAGGUUAAGGCGAAGGCAUCUUCUUAUGUAAAAACUGACGUUGAAGGACGAAGGCUUUGUGCCUCGAACAGGAUUAGAUACCCUAGUAGUCUAAGCAGAAAAUGAUGAAUGUCAUGGAUUAGAUAUAAUUUGAUCUAUAAAUGAAAGUGUAAGCAUUCCACCUCAAGAGUAAUUUGGCAACAUUGGAACUGAAAUCAUUAGACCGUUUCUGAAACCAGUAGUGAAGUAUGUUGUUUAAUUUGAUGAUCCGCAAAAAACCUUACCACUUUUCUUAACAUGAAUAGAUAUAUUAUAUCAUACCAGCGUUGCACGGCUGUCUUCAGUUAAUGUCGUAAGACCUUGGUUAGUUCCAUUAAAUUAACGUAAACCCUUACUCUAUUUUAAAAUAAAGUAGUUCCCG
rnacentral:rRNA from 1 species